rnacentral:rRNA from 1 species
AGCGAACGCUGGCGGCGUGCCUAACACAUGCAAGUCGAACGUGAAAGGGGGCAACCCCGAGUAAAGUGGCGUACGGGUGAGUAACACGUAGGUAAUCUACCCUAGAGUCUGGAAUAACCGGCCGAAAGGCUGGCUAAUACUGGAUAGAGCGACGGAAUCCGUAAUUGGGUUUUUCGGGAAAGGGAGGUCGGAAGACCCUUCUGUCUAAGAUGAGCCUGCGUCCCAUCAGCUAGUUGGCGAGGUAAUGGCUCACCAAGGCUUUGACGGGUAGCUGGUCUGAGAGGAUGAUCAGCCACACUGGAACUGAAACACGGUCCAGACGCCUACGGGAGGCAGCAGUGGGGAAUCUUGCGCAAUGGACGAAAGUCUGACGCAGCCACGCCGCGUGAGUGAAGAAGGCCUUCGGGUUGUAAAGCUCUGUCGGAAGGGACGAAAAUACUUAGGGUGAACAGCCCUAGGGACUGACGGUACCUUUAAAGGAAGCACCGGCUAACUCUGUGCCAGCAGCCGCAGUAA